GAAAUUCAGAUUGUUGGACACUCUCCAGGACAAAAGGUCUAGAUUCUUCAAAAACAACAACAUCGAAAAAAAAAAACUGCCAGAAAGAAAAAAUACAGAGGGAGAAGGACACAGAACACAUUUAUGAGUCUUUUCACCCUCAUUUCGUUGAAGAUUUUAUUGGCCGAAGAACCCUCAGUAGGCACGAAAUUCAUUCUCACAAGCAGAGAGAUGCAUUAUGCUCCAUUUAUUGCUCAUCCUAAAUUAUAAACAUUUCCAGUGAAUGUAAAGGAAGAUAUGAUUGAAAAGGACUCUGUGAAGACAGGAUGUUUCUGUACAGUCCUUGUAUCUGCUCACCUAUUCCAAACUUUCCAGAGAUUUUACCAGAGGUUUAAGAUAUUCUCCUGAGGGUUUGCUGUAGAGAGAUUUUUCUUAACUAAGGAGUGCAAGUAGCAAGCAAUAGCCCACCCAGUUGGAGACAAAAAAGAAGGGUGUCAGUGUUCCCACUGUUAAAAAACAAAAAAAAAUCACCCUGGACACCUCUGAGAAUUAUACAAGGGGAUGUACACAGCCCUGCUUUAUUUGAGUUCAAAAGGAAGGUGGGUUUUGAAAGAAGAACAAGGAGAGUAGAUCUCUCUGGAUCUUCUGAUGCUCACAGCAAAGAGCUCAAGGUAUCUGAGUCAACUCUUGAGGCUUCUUCGAACAGAGGGAUGAAGAGAGAAUAUGGCAAGCUUGCCAACAGAUCCCAGAAGUUUUAAGAGAAAAGAACAGAUUGCUCUUUGCAAAACAAACCGAGCUGGGUGCAUGGAGCCCCAGUAGACAGAAAGUGAAGAAAACAUCAACGUUCUGAAGUUUUAGAUAGAUGAAGAAAGAUGAUACGAUGUGAUGGACAACAGAGACUUAUAUGGUGGGGUCUGGGCUGGUCUUUCUGAAGCUAAGACUGGCAGGAUGAGCAGGAGUUUGCCAGACAAAGAGGAGUGGAGUUGUUUUCCAAACACAUCUCAGCACAAAGUGUUGUCUUUGCUGGGAGCUGAAAAAAGAUAGUGUGGGCAGAGACCAUUAGGUGAGACGCUUGAUAUGAGAUACAACCUCAACAGGUGGAAGAAGAUCAUGAGAGAUGAAGAGAGGAAUAUAGUACAGCAGAGAGGACACAGAAGCUGACGUCAGGGUGUCUCAGUUUGAAACCAGUGGCCACCCUGUUCCUCUCCCAUGUGGUCCCAUCAUGGGCCUCUAGGGUCUGGGAUAAGAGGUUAAUGAAUAUCUCAUACCCUAAGCAGGGGUGGUCCCUGCACUUUAGCAAAAAGUUAAGGAACUAGGGAAAAGAGAUGGAAAUAAUAAAGAGAUGGGACAAAGACUUUGAAGACCAAA
rnacentral:lncRNA from 1 species